rnacentral:rRNA from 1 species
GAUGAACGCUGGCGGCGUGCUUAACACAUGCAAGUCGAACGAAGCACUUAACUUUGAUUCUUCGGAUGAAGAGUUUUGUGACUGAGUGGCGGACGGGUGAGUAACGCGUGGGUAACCUGCCUCAUACAGGGGGAUAACAGUUAGAAAUGACUGCUAAUACCGCAUAAGCGCACAGUACCGCAUGGUACGGUGUGAAAAACUCCGGUGGUAUGAGAUGGACCCGCGUCUGAUUAGCUAGUUGGUGGGGUAACGGCCUACCAAGGCGACGAUCAGUAGCCGGCCUGAGAGGGUGAACGGCCACAUUGGGACUGAGACACGGCCCAAACUCCUACGGGAGGCAGCAGUGGGGGAUAUUGCGCAAUGGGGGCAACCCUGACGCAGCAAUGCCGCGUGAAGGAUGAAGGUUUUCGGAUUGUAAACUUCUUUUAUUAAGGACGAACAAUGACGGUACUUAAUGAAUAAGCUCCGGCUAACUACGUG